UACGGGGGAGCAAGCGUUGUUCGGAUUUACUGGGCGUAAAGGGCGCGUAGGCGGUCAGCACAAGUCAGUUGUGAAAUCUCCGGGUUUAACUCGGAAAGGUCAACUGAUACUGUGCGACUAGAGUGCGGAAGGGGCAACUGGAAUUCUCGGUGUAGCGGUGAAAUGCGUAGAUAUCGAGAGGAACACCUGCGGCGAAGGCGGGUUGCUGGGCCGACACUGACGCUGAUGCGCGAAAGCGUGGGGAGCAAACAGG
rnacentral:rRNA from 1 species